CAUUUCUUGGGCUGCUCCCGCGGCAUAUGGAGGUUCCCAGGCUAGGGGUCUAAUUGGAGCUGUAGCUGCCAGCCUACACUAGAGCCAUAGCAACGCGGGAACCUCAUGGUUCCUAGUCGGAUUCGUUAACCACUGCGCCACGACGGGAACUCCUGUAGGUUCCAUUUUCUAAGUAUUUCUUGAACCCACCCGCAUCUCUCCCCCGCCACUGCCCCAGCUUCGGCUCGCAGCAUCUACCACUAUCCUAGUCAUAAGCCUCACAGCACUGACACGCCUACUUUUUCCUCUGGAACUGCAACCACGAGGAUCUUCGUAAAAGGCAAAUCCAAUCCUGUUAAUCCACUGCUUAAAACCUCUCAGGCUGAUAUCAAGCGUCCAUAGGAUGGGAUCCAAGCUAGUAAUGGCUUUGAAAGUUCCCCUGUGUCCUCCCUCCUCAAAAUCUACGCUCUAUUCAUUAGGGACUGGUUUGCCACGUGAGAAGACAACUGUUUUGCUUGCUUGCUUUUUGCUGUUUUGCUGUUUUGUUUGGCCUCUGGGCUGCUGCUCAGGAGUUUCCUCUCCCUGAAACAGCCUUCCUUUGCCCCAGUAAUGCCACACUCACUUUUCAGGCAGUUGAUUCUUCAUCGCUCUUCAAGUCUCAAUAUAGAUGCCUCCUGCUCCAAGUUAGGUGCCCCUGCUCAGUACACCCAAUAGAACCCUCCUCCCCAUUUAGAACCCUACCACACAUAAUGGUAAUGGUAACUAACUUAUCUUCCUUAUAUUUGUGUCUAUAAAGGUAAGAUAAAUUUCUUCCUCAUCAGUGAAUUACAAAGAGAUGUCUAGAACAAAGUAGGCAUUCAAUGAAUAUUCAUUCAGUUGAUGAAUCUUGAAUGAAGAAGAAAGAUAACUUUAUGAAGUUAACAACAGCUUAAAAGGACAAAAUUUUGGUUCUGGCAUCAUACCUGACAUGUUGAUCAGUAUACAUACAGUAAGAUUAACCACAUAUCAUUAUAAGGAUAAGAAAAUGCCUUUGUUACAUGCUUAAUAACGAUAUAAAAUAUAAAAUCUAUUCCUUGGGGGAAAAAAUCUAAUUCGACCAGCUGGUAAUAUAAACUUACAGGAUAAAAUAUGAAAUAAAGGAAAAGACCUAGUUUUCAAAGUGAACAGGGGCAUCCCACUGUAGUGUGUAUAUCAACGGAUCCAGCUUAUUUACACCCAAUAAUGAAAAUCAAAUAUUACAACAUGACAUUCCUAGCACAUCAUGCUUCCACGGUGGAAAAUCAAUACCUCAUCCUCGUUUUCAGUAACUUGUUUACCCAACCACAGUUCUAGAAUCAUUAUGCAAUGUAGACAGUCUUCUCAAGCACUUUGAACCCAUUUGAAGUCAAAACCAGACCUUCUCUGACACCUCCUCCAAAUGGGCAUCUCUCUGAUGACUCUCCAAAAAUUUGACCAGGGUUAUAAGGAGCAAAAGCGACCGCACUGGAAUGUCAAGUUAUUCUGCCCCAUGGAAGGACAUUUGGGACAGCUGGUCCAGUACUGCAUCCAUUCGACCACGGUGGUUUAUUUUACUCUGUGGGUGCAGACAACCCGGCCAGUGUGAGCAGAACAUGACAUCUUGUGCUUUUCCAUCUUCCCCAGCACUCAGUGCGGUAUCAAUCUAACAGCAAAAGCAUAACCAACACAGGCUGCCUACUGAACUCACAUGACCAGUCUUGACAACUUCCUCUGUAAAACACUCCACAACAUAAUUACUAAGGCUGUUUUGCUUAAAAUCUUCAUACGCAGUCAGGGACACACAGGCCCACACACUCCACACGUAUUUUUAAUACUAGUCCAAAUCAGAGUUCCCGUCAUGGCGCAGAGGUUAACAAACCCGACUAGGAACCAUGAGGCUGCGGGUUCGAUCCCUGGCCUUGCUCAGUGGGUUAAGGAUCUGGUGUUGCCAUGAGCUGUAGUGUAGGUCACAGAUGCGGCUCGGAUCCUGCAUUGCUGUGGCUGUGGUGUAGGCCAGCAGCUACAGCUCUGAUUAGACCCCUAGACUGAGAACUUCCACAUGCCACAGGUAAGGCCCUAAAAGGACAAGCGGAGGGAAAAAAAAAAAAAAAAAAAAAAAACCCUAGUCCAAAAUCAAGAAAAGGAUUCCAAUACCUAACACGUUCAUGCGAUUUUUUUUUUAACUGUUUAUAUUCCAACUAAUGUAUUUCAUUUACUCUUUGGGCAGGGGUGGGGGGGCAGGUAGUGCAUACGUAGCAUGGCAAAGUUCUGGGCCAAGGAUCAAACCUGAGCCGCAGCAGUGACAAUGUAGGACCCUUAAGUAUUAUGCCACCAGGGAACUCCUUGGUUUUCUAUAAAAUGAAACUCAAAGACGGCCUCAGAGCUAUUCUCUCCAGCAAGAACGAGCUUCCCUCAGACUUCCGCAUGACUCAACUUCUUUGCCAAAUGUCACCUUCCCUGACCACUUUCGAGCCCACAGUUAUAAUGUCCCCAGCCAAAUCCUGGCACUCCCUUCCCCCCCUUUCAAGAUAUAUUUAUCUCCAGAGCACUUUUCAUCAUCAACCUAUCUGUUCUGUUUACUGUUUUCUCCCACUAGAACAUUUCUCCAUGAAAAAAAGAAUUUUUGCUCUGUUUUAUUCUACGCUGCUUCUUUACUUUGCACCACAUGUCAAACACCGUAGGUGCUCAAGAGGUAUUGGUUGAAUGAAUGAAAAUGGAAUCCUAGAAAAUGACCUUAAUACUGAGACUGUGAAAUGAAAGCUCUCCAAGUGGGAAUAUGCACAUAUAUUUCAGGUGAUUCUCUUUCACGUAAAGCCCAAAGGACUUUAGGAACUAAACUGCUACUCAAGGGGCACCCAGAGAUUACUAGGGGGCCCCUAAGUAACUACUCAAGCACACUUUAACAAAAAGCAACAAAUUCUAUGUCUUGCUUUAUUUAGCACUGGAGAAAACCCUAUUGUGGAAAAUGUAAAUUAUUUAGGUUCCAUAUGCGGCUACUUAAGAAUUUUAUAUCACACCUCUUGUAAUAUAAUGUUUGUAACAGAAUUUUCUCGAUAUAAUUCCUCUGAUACCAUAACUUUGCACACACACUAUAGUAUGUCAUAGUAGCUACAUUCUCAAAUAUUCUCAUUACCUAAGUCCUGUACACAGUAAGAGAACUAAUGGGUAAAUUCUUAGUCAGGUCACUCUGAUGGAGAAAACUAUACUAUCGAGUAUGCCAUCUGGCCAUUAAAACAGAGAAUAUAGACCGAUCAAGUAGCUCACAAUAUUUAUUUAGUCAAGAAGAGACCACCUUCAGAUUUCAGUGGAGCAAUAAAAGAAAAUAAGGAAAUGCAGAAGCAGGGGUGUAGUUAACAAAUACAUAUUCAGGAUUUAAGUAAGCCAGGAGUUCUUGUCGUGGCUCAGCAGAAACGAAUCCGACUGGGAACCAUGAAGUUGCGGGAUCGAUCUCUGGCCUCGCUCAGUGGGUUAAGGAUCCGGCAGUACCUCGAGCCAUGGUGUAGGUCGAAGACGUGGCUCGGAUGUGGCCUUGCUGUGGCUGUGGCGUAGGCCGGCAGCUGCAGCUCUGAUUUGACCCCAAGCCUGGGAACCUCCACAUGCUGAGGGUGUGGCCUAAAAAAAGACCCCAAAAAAAUUUAGGUAAGCCAAAUGCAAAAUUCUAUAUUGAGUUUUGUGGUAAGAGACAAAAGAAAUGAAAUAUGGUCUCCAUACUAAAAGACUUCUAAAAUCCAGUUGAGAUAAAAUAAACUGCGGCACCACGGAGAAAAAUGUUCAUAGUCUAAAAUGGAAAAACUUUUAAAGCAUGUAGACCCAAGAAAACAGACACCGCGUAUUAGAACAAUUUGAUUUUUUCUUUUCUUUUUGAACAUCAAUGGCACUGCGGAUGCCGUUUAUCUACCUCCAGGCAAGGAGGUCAGAGAGUGGACUCUGAGGUGUGUGCUAUCCGUGCGGCCGCUUCGCCCCAGGCGACUGUAAUUAUCUGCAGGGCUACGUUUCCCCAUCUGCUGAUACCGGCCUGCGCAGCUAUUAUCAAGUAUUUCCACUCUAUCUCCCAAUGUCCUCCAAUCUGCCCCGUUCUCUACCACACUCCCCUUGGCCUGGGUGAGCCCUCUUGAUCACCCAGCUAAGCCACUGCAAAGAGAGGCCUGAUGAAAUUCCUCCUCUAAGUAAAAACUGCUGCCGGAUGCCACCCCCGCGAGGCUGAACUCCUCAGCACUCUAAUUAUAAGAAUUACACUUCUAGCCUCAGCCCUUACUUCUCCAUGCUUCGUCUGCACACUUGGCAUACACGCCUUUCCACCACAUAAAGCAUAUUCCCUUUUCUGUUUUUCAUCAUCGCUCUUUCUUUGACAAGCCCAGGUUAACUGUCAUCUCCAUAAAGAGUCCUUUGAUCCUGGAAAUCAGGAUCCUCUCUCUGGUGCUUCCUGGGAAUUAGCAAAGUGAUUAUUUGUACCUUGAUGGUCAUGCUAAACAGUGGUGUGACGGUAGUUUGUGUUUAUCUUCUCCCACCCCUUUCUAAGAAAAGAAUCCCUUCCUCCCUCGGGACUUAAUGACAUGUAGUUUGGGUGGAUCCAGGGCAGUUCAAUGAGCACACUAACUCCUCCUGGCCACACAAUUAGCUCAAGGACAGACCCUGUCCAGAGCACAGGCAGCUGGAACUCUCCCUAGAACUGUCACUAGAACCAUGAGGAAAAAGAAUCUCCGUUCGCUGGAUCCCUGAGCUAGGGAGAGACAUGAGGCAGCCACCUGCGCUACAACAUGAGGAAAGCCUGAUGAGAAUGAGCUAACAGAAGAGAUUCUCUGAACCUCUGGAUCCACUGAGGUUCACCCACCAAGCGUCCAGAUCACACAAACCUAAAAUCCCUUUUUUUCUGAGCUGGAUUUCUGUCCCUGUCAACUGACACAAGACUAAUACAGGUUAUGAUCAUGAUCUGCUUUAUGUUAUAAUUAAUAGUACUCAGGACAGAAAAAAACAGCAAGAAAGCCAAUGUGGCUGGAGUGAGCGAGCAAGCAUGGAGGGGGGUGGGGUGGGGGAGGGGGGUGCUGGAUGGCACUGUAAGGAUGCUGAGUUAAACGCUGGGCUGCGUGUGGUGUGGGCUGGCAGCUGCAGUUCCGAUUCGAUUCCUAGCCUGGGAACAUCUACAUGCCACAGGUGUCUAAAAAGACAAAAAAAAAAAAAAAAAAA
rnacentral:lncRNA from 1 species